rnacentral:rRNA from 1 species
GAUGAACGCUGGCGGCGUGCCUAAUACAUGCAAGUCGAGCGAACAGACGAGGAGCUUGCUCCUCUGACGUUAGCGGCGGACGGGUGAGUAACACGUGGAUAACCUACCUAUAAGACUGGGAUAACUUCGGGAAACCGGAGCUAAUACCGGAUAAUAUAUUGAACCGCAUGGUUCAAUAGUGAAAGACGGUUUUGCUGUCACUUAUAGAUGGAUCCGCGCCGCAUUAGCUAGUUGGUAGGUAACGGCUUACCAAGGCAACGAUGCGUAGCCGACCUGAGAGGGUGAUCGGCCACACUGGAACUGAGACGCGGUCCAGACUCCUACGGGAGGCAGCAGUAGGGAAUCUUCCGCAAUGGGCGAAAGCCUGACGGAGCAACGCCGCGUGAGUGAUGAAGGUCUUCGGAUCGUAAAACUCUGUUAUUAGGGAAGAACAAAUGUGUAAGUAACUAUGCACGUCUUGACGGUACCUAAUCAGAAAGCCACGGCUAACUACGUG